AACGUAGGAGACAAAGCGUUAUCCGGAGUUACUGGGCGUAAAGGGCGUGUAGGUGGUUACGUAAGUCUGGCGUGAAAUUUCUCGGCUUAACCGAGGCAGGUCGUCGGAUACUGCGAGACUAGAGGACGGUAGAGGCGUGUGGGAAUUCCGGGUGAGUGGUGAAAUGCGUAGAGAUCCGGAGGAACACCAGUGGCGAAGGCGACACGCUGG
rnacentral:rRNA from 1 species